rnacentral:rRNA from 2 species
AGAGUUUGAUCAUGGCUCAGAUUGAACGCUGGCGGCAGGCCUAACACAUGCAAGUCGAGCGGUAACACAGAGAGCUUGCUCUCGGGUGACGAGCGGCGGACGGGUGAGUAAUGUCUGGGAAACUGCCUGAUGGAGGGGGAUAACUACUGGAAACGGUAGCUAAUACCGCAUAACGUCGCAAGACCAAAGUGGGGGACCUUCGGGCCUCAUGCCAUCAGAUGUGCCCAGAUGGGAUUAGCUAGUAGGUGGGGUAAUGGCUCACCUAGGCGACGAUCCCUAGCUGGUCUGAGAGGAUGACCAGCCACACUGGAACUGAGACACGGUCCAGACUCCUACGGGAGGCAGCAGUGGGGAAUAUUGCACAAUGGGCGCAAGCCUGAUGCAGCCAUGCCGCGUGUAUGAAGAAGGCCUUCGGGUUGUAAAGUACUUUCAGCGAGGAGGAAGGCAUUAAGGUUAAUAACCUUGGUGAUUGACGUUACUCGCAGAAGAAGCACCGGCUAACUCCGUGCCAGCAGCCGCGGUAAUACGGAGGGUGCAAGCGUUAAUCGGAAUUACUGGGCGUAAAGCGCACGCAGGCGGUCUGUCAAGUCGGAUGUGAAAUCCCCGGGCUCAACCUGGGAACUGCAUUCGAAACUGGCAGGCUAGAGUCUUGUAGAGGGGGGUAGAAUUCCAGGUGUAGCGGUGAAAUGCGUAGAGAUCUGGAGGAAUACCGGUGGCGAAGGCGGCCCCCUGGACAAAGACUGACGCUCAGGUGCGAAAGCGUGGGGAGCAAACAGGAUUAGAUACCCUGGUAGUCCACGCCGUAAACGAUGUCGACUUGGAGGUUGUGCCCUUGAGGCGUGGCUUCCGGAGCUAACGCGUUAAGUCGACCGCCUGGGGAGUACGGCCGCAAGGUUAAAACUCAAAUGAAUUGACGGGGGCCCGCACAAGCGGUGGAGCAUGUGGUUUAAUUCGAUGCAACGCGAAGAACCUUACCUACUCUUGACAUCCAGAGAACUUAGCAGAGAUGCUUUGGUGCCUUCGGGAACUCUGAGACAGGUGCUGCAUGGCUGUCGUCAGCUCGUGUUGUGAAAUGUUGGGUUAAGUCCCGCAACGAGCGCAACCCUUAUCCUUUGUUGCCAGCGGUCCGGCCGGGAACUCAAAGGAGACUGCCAGUGAUAAACUGGAGGAAGGUGGGGAUGACGUCAAGUCAUCAUGGCCCUUACGAGUAGGGCUACACACGUGCUACAAUGGCAUAUACAAAGAGAAGCGACCUCGCGAGAGCAAGCGGACCUCAUAAAGUAUGUCGUAGUCCGGAUUGGAGUCUGCAACUCGACUCCAUGAAGUCGGAAUCGCUAGUAAUCGUAGAUCAGAAUGCUACGGUGAAUACGUUCCCGGGCCUUGUACACACCGCCCGUCACACCAUGGGAGUGGGUUGCAAAAGAAGUAGGUAGCUUAACCUUCGGGAGGGCGCUUACCACUUUGUGAUUCAUGACUGGGGUGAAGUCGUAACAAGGUAACCGUAGGGGAACCUGCGGUUGGAUCACCU